GACGAACGCUGGCGGCGUGCCUAAUACAUGCAAGUCGAACGCUUCUUUCCUCCCGAGUGCUUGCACUCAAUUGGAAAGAGGAGUGGCGGACGGGUGAGUAACACGUGGGUAACCUACCCAUCAGAGGGGGAUAACACUUGGAAACAGGUGCUAAUACCGCAUAACAGUUUAUGCCGCAUGGCAUAAGAGUGAAAGGCGCUUUCGGGUGUCGCUGAUGGAUGGACCCGCGGUGCAUUAGCUAGUUGGUGAGGUAACGGCUCACCAAGGCCACGAUGCAUAGCCGACCUGAGAGGGUGAUCGGCCACACUGGGACUGAGACACGGCCCAGACUCCUACGGGAGGCAGCAGUAGGGAAUCUUCGGCAAUGGACGAAAGUCCGACCGAGCAACGCCGCGUGAGUGAAGAAGGUUUUCGGAUCGUAAAACUCUGUUGUUAGAGAAGAACAAGGACGUUAGUAACUGAACGUCCCCUGACGGUAUCUAACCAGAAAGACACGGCUAACUACGUG
rnacentral:rRNA from 1 species